rnacentral:rRNA from 1 species
GUGCCAGCAGCCGCGGUAAUACCGGCAGCCCGAGUGAUGGCCGAUCUUAUUGGGCCUAAAGCGUCCGUAGCUGGCCGCGCAAGUCCAUCGGAAAAUCCACCCGCCCAACGGGUGGGCGUCCGGUGGAAACUGCGUGGCUUGGGACCGGAAGGCUCAGAGAGUACGUCCGGGGUAGGAGUGAAAUCCCGUAAUCCCGGACGGACUACCGAUGGCGAAAGCACUCUGAGAAGACGGCUUCGACAGUGAGGGACGAAAGCUCGGGUCUCAAACCGGAUUAGAUACCCGGGUAGUCC